rnacentral:lncRNA from 1 species
AAAUUGUGGUGCCUUGUUGCUUUGUAUAUCGUUACAUUAGAAUAGCAUGUUGUAGUUCUGUUCACUACUACAAUAAUUUUUUCGGUGGCCGGCAAAACUGGUUUUCUGAGGCGGUUUUUCUGUCCGCCUCACAGCUAAGGUCACUAUAAAUAACUGAUUUACCGAGGCGGACAGAUACCCGCCACCAUUAAUAAAACAAAACAAAUAAAAUAAAAAACGAUGAGCCCAUCUAGGACCCAGAGUUGUGCGAGACCGCCACUGCCCGCGCCAUCGUCGAGGCACGACCGUCGCUACCGGCGCACACGUGGAGCCAGAUCCACCGAGACGAGCCCGAUCUAUGGCGGAUCCGCCAUCAUGGAC